AUUGAACGCUGGCGGCAUGCUUUACACAUGCAAGUCGAACGGCAGCGCGGGCUUCGGCCUGGCGGCGAGUGGCGAACGGGUGAGUAAUACAUCGGAACGUGCCCAGUAGUGGGGGAUAGCUCGGCGAAAGCCGGAUUAAUACCGCAUACGACCUGAGGGUGAAAGCGGGGGAUCUUCGGACCUCGCGCUAUUGGAGCGGCCGAUGGCCGAUUAGCUAGUUGGUGGGGUAAAGGCCUACCAAGGCGACGAUCUGUAGCUGGUCUGAGAGGACGACCAGCCACACUGGGACUGAGACACGGCCCAGACGCCUACGGGAGGCAGCAGUGGGGAAUUUUGGACAAUGGGCGAAAGCCUGAUCCAGCAAUGCCGCGUGUGUGAUGAAGGCCUUCGGGUUGUAAAGCACUUUUGGCGGGAACGAAAAGGACUGUGCCAAUACCACGGUUCGAUGACGGUACCCGCAGAAUAAGCACCGGCUAACUACGUG
rnacentral:rRNA from 1 species